rnacentral:rRNA from 1 species
AGACCGUGAAACCGCUCAGAGUAUAAGCCAAUGGAGCUUGGAAGGCUUCCACAGUACGAGGCAUCUCACGAGGUGUUCUCACAGGCCACAUGCGACGUUCGCUAGGUAGGAGAAUUUGAGUAUUCCACCGCCGACGAACGGGCGUUGCGCUCUGGAGUUCCUUGUCUUUCGGGGCUUGGGAUUUUGGGGCCUUCGCUUGAGUACGGGCGUUCUUAGCUCGUGGUCUAAUGUGGUUAUGCCCACCACAGCACGUUGUGAGGUCACCCACAGGCUCAAACUGCCGAUCGCGUAUCCACGGACGAUGGCAAAGAUGCGUUGUACUGCCUCGAGCAAUCGAGCGACCUAACGCGUGUCUAGUCCUGGGUCGGGCGGCGACCGAGUUAAAAUCCUGGUACGAUCCUCAAGCGACGAGCUGCUUUCUGGCCAGACCGACGUCCCGUCACUUCCCUGUGCCGGAGGUGCGCGUGUGCUGUCUGAGGCCCGCUAAGUUAUGCAAGUCUCUCAGCCGGGCGUUGGUCUGAGUGGUGUUAAGUCCAGCACCAUCGGUCACGUCUCGAAACACGGGCCAAGGAGUAUAGCAUGUGUGCAAGUCUAAGGGUCUCACAAAACCCGCAGGCGAAGUGAAAGCAAGACCGAGGCGGGGGAGCUACGGCGAACCCGCCGGCCUGGUGGCUUUACCGUUACCGGCUUUUGUCAGAGCUGAUCCUGCAAUCGGUUAAAUCUUGGUGCAGGCGCAAGCUCCGGGCUCACGUACCGCACUGGUCACGCUUGUCGUGGCUGUGUUGUGAGCACCGUGGAGCAUGCAUGCUAUAACCCGAAAGAUAGUGAACUAUGCCUGGCGAGGGCGAAGCCCCAGGAAACUGGGGUGGAGGCCCGUAGCCGUUGUGACGUGCAAAUCCAUGGUAUCAGUUGGGCAUAGGGGCGAAAGACCAAUCGAACUAUCUAGUAGCU